AUGCUGCCACCUGCCUUGGUUUGUUGCUGAGUGGCCCUGUACCACCUAAAAUGCUCAACCCAGAAACAGGCACGUGGUACGCAGGCAUUGAACAUGAGUUAAGUAUUUGCAUACAUAAUUCACGCAACAUGCUUCAGAUGAGCAUCACGCUAGUUUUCUCUUUUAUUUCAUGCUGAUGAUUCAUAGUUCCACAAGCCAGGCCAGCUUGGCCAACUGCUCUGCUUUAGAUAUUAGGCAGAAGAUUCUAUUUGAAGAAAGAAUCAUCAGCAUCAUAUGACUCGAAAGGGUUUGUGGUUACAAAUUAGUCCUACUCACUCCCAAUUUAUAGAUAAGGAAACUGAGUCUCGGAAGGAGGCGAUAAUUUUCCCAAGGGCAUGCAGUAAGACAGGCACAGCUCAGAACAGAACCUGGGUUGGUUGUGGCCCAGGGCAGGCUGGGGAUAGAGGCAGACAGCCUGGGGGGCAGUGUGGGAGCUGAUGGGUACCUUGGAGGCCGUGAUGGGCUUGAGACACGUCUGUCCACCAUGAGUGAAGUUGCAGGAGACCUCGAUGGUGUCAGAGGAGCAGCCAAGGUUUGGAUCCACCCAGUAGGUACCUGCAGGCAGCGUGGGAUGGAGGUGAUGUAUGUAUCUGGGGGAUGAGCCCAUACCUUGGUUCUGCAGAUGGACCCUGCAUCUUGUGACCUGCCGAGCCCCAGGUGAGCAUGAAGUCAGGGUGGGUGAGCAGAAAAGGGAUUCCUCCAACCAAGAUGGAAGGAAACCUUCUGGGCAGAGCUCACAAUGGGCAGAGCCCCCAGAGGAGGGGUCACAUGGCUAAGUACUUGCCUAUGUUGCUACUGGGAUGUAUCCAUUUUACAGAGAAGAUAACUGACAUUGAGAGAGGCUGGGCCACUUGCACAAGGGAUUGGGGGAUCACCUAGUUGAAUGGAUUCUUCGAGGCCUAGGGCUCCUCCUAGGGCCUGCCGGGGGAGGGUAGGAGUCAGGUCUCCCACCCCAUCAGCCAGCACUGCUGCUUACAUCUAGCUUCCCCACUGGGCUUCUCAGGAAGCCAAAACCUUUGCAGCUCAAGAGUGGAACAACCGGCCAUCUAGUCCCAGCCACUUGUGCAGAGGAGGCAAGGGCAGCUCGGGAUGGGGCCGUGGCUUGCCCCAGCUCACAGACCAAGUCUGAGGCAGGACUGACAUUGGAACUCAGGUCUGUCUGGCUCUGCAGCUUGUCCUUCACAGCACCACAUCAGCUCACAGAUGAGAGAGCAGAGUCCUCAUGCUCAGAAAGGGGGAAAAUCCUGGCUCAUCCGGGAGCCUGUGACAGGAUGGGCCCCGGGGGUGGGGACUCUUACAGCCUCAGGAGCUUUUUCUGCCAGAGCUCUUGUCUCUUUGCACUGAAAUGGUCAUCCCCAGCAUGCGGAUCUUGGUAUAUUGUGAGGCUCUGUGACUGCUGAGUGAAUAAAUGACUGCCAGUGUAUCUGUCUUGCUGAGGACAAAAACUCAGCCAAAAUGCGGCGGAAAUCAAAUACUCCACCUGCCCCAGCUCCCCACCGCCAGGCGCACCCACCCCCAGCAGGAAGCCUUCUCACCAUCCACCAUCUUCUGCUCACAGUCCAUGAGGUCCCUGCAGACCCGGGCGGGGUUCUCUUUGGUGCCCAGGGGCGUCUUAAUGCUCUGGAUGAGGUUGCUGAGGUAGUGUAAGGUUUUAAAGAUCUCUCCUCCCUGGUCCAGCACCAGCCGGUCCGGAUAGCUGUAACUCUGUCACAAGGAGAGGGUGGUCAUUGGGAUCUUAGGGUCCUGGUCCAGCCUGGGGUUCAAGCCUCCACAGCCCCUGGUUCUCACAACCUGGGAGGUAUCUCGGUUCCACGGUCAUGGCUAGAGCACAGGUUGGGUUUCUCUUUAUUUUGCAGAUAAGAAAACGGGCCAGGGACAAAGUGCAGGAGGAGAGGCUAUCACAAUGGCUCAGAGGCUUGAAAAGAGCUCAGGGUCAGACCAUGUUCUCUGAUAUGGGACAGGCAGAGCCCCGUGAAUGAGACUACAUCUUCAGCCUUAUUUGUGCUCUAGCCAACGGGAUGGAAGUGGAGUGAUGCUAGCCCCAUAGAGGCCUGGCCCAGAGACCCUCCUGCACAAUUCUCUACACUCUCUUUCCCCGGUGGUGCCUCCCCCUGGUGUGGAGUGACCUUGGGAGCCACGUGUGGGAGAGGAAGAAGGCAGAGCCCCUGGCAGGUAGCCAAGGUCUCUCCUCAACAAGCCAAAUUAACUUUUACGUGCACGAGAAAUAAGCCUCUAUUCUACCGCCAAUGCAGAGUGGGUAGGAGGUGCUUGAUAAACGGAGCCACUUUCCUUCAUCAUGUUAAGGAUGUUGCAGGUCAGCGCUCUCCUGUGUGGCAUCACUGGCUUCUAGGAAUGGAAGGAAACGCUUCCCUUCUCCAGCCGCACUGGAUCCUGAGUGUUCCCCUCUCUUUCCACUGACCUCCCCGGACAGAUGGUAAGGGGCUCAUCCAUGCUGUCCUCCACCCUAGACUGUGAGCCCUCUGAAAGUCAAGGCUGUGACUGGCCAUCCAUCUGUCUCAGCAUCCAGCACAGGGAACAAACAGAAAUGUUCAUAGGAGGUUUGAGCUGGGGGCAGUAAGUUCCCUGUCAUGUGAAGGAGGCAAGGCUGCAAAGGAGGCUCCUGACCGAGGCUGGACUAGAGGACAUGGGACUCCCUUCUCAGCCUGGAGUCUUACAGCUGAGUUGACUACAGGCCAGGUUCUCAGCACAGCCCCACGAGCUAACCAUGAGCUUCUUACUGCUGAAGAAACGUGGGGAUGAGCCCUGGGAAGCUGUUGCGGGCUCUGGGCCCAGGCAAGCUUCUCCCCCUGACUCCAGCCAGCAAGAGCUUGGAGACUCUGAGAGGCCUCCGGAGAAAGCUCAAGGGUUCAGGGCCUGUUUCUGGCCUUGCUCUGCCUGCACUGGCCAUGGGACCUUGGACUCACUGCCCAUUCUGAGCCUCAGUACAAACCCCCAUUUGUGGAUGCGAGAUGCCACCAAGACCAGGACUCUGAAAUGCUCCAUGCAGGCCACAUGGAAGGCACUGACCACAUGUGGGCCAUUAUCUAUUUGCGUUUCUCCCAGGAAGGGAUCCCACAUGGGGAGAGCCCCUGGAGAUACCUCUGGCCUGAGUGCUCCACUGGUGUCCAUCCACGUCUGGAAAGCUGCCCCAAGAUCAUCUUGUUGCUGGGCAAGGAAAAGACAGGGUAUGUAUCGUGGUCCCCCAGUGUUCUCCACACCCAUCAAGUGGGAGCCCCAGGGCCACAUUCCCUGGCAGGAUCUUGGCCAAGUCAUAUGCCCUCUGCAGAACUCUCGGUCCUUCCUCUCUUUGCAGACAGUCAAAGCUGACCCUGCCAUUCCCUUUCCCCAGGUACUAAUAGCUCCCCAUUGCCCUCAGGAUUAAGUUCAGACUCCUCAACAUGGUUAUAAGACCCAGUUUGAACACUGUGGUCUUGAGCCAUGUCUCUUUCCUCUCCCUCAUAUGUGCUGUGGCACCAGCCGCACUAUAGUACUUCUAAGUUCCUAAACGCCAUGAUCCAUCUGGCCAUGGGGCCUUUGCACAUGCUGUUCUCAUUGCCUGGAGGACCUCUCCCUCCCUUCAAUGCACCAUCUGGCUAUCUCCUAUACCAGUGCUUCUCAGGGAGAGGCGACAAUGCCCCCCAGGGGAUAUUUGGCAAUAUCUGGAGACAGUUUGGUUGUUCAAGCCGGGGGAGGGGGUACUACUUGUAUCUCAUGGUUAGAGGCCAGGAAUUCUGCUAAACAUCCUCCAGGACAGUCACUCACAGCAAAGAAUUAUGCAAAUGUCAGUUGCACUGUGUCUCAGAAAACCUGCCCUAGACUCAUCUUAUAGAUGUCAGUUGUGAUUGGAAGCCUCUCCCGAAGCUUCUGACUCCAGGCUAAGAUGAGGGAGGCCCCCUUUCUCUAUGCCCCCAGUCCCCGUGUUUCUCCUUUGGCUCGCACUUUAAUGGUCUAAUAUAACUUUGCACCCCCAACCCUACCACUGGGCUUGGCAGAGACAGAGCUGUGGUCUUGCCAUGAAAACAGCAAAAGCUGAGGCCUGGGGUCCAGAACCGGGGACUCUGGGGCUACUCCUCAGGGUCAAAUUCCAGACCUGCCACUUACUAACUGCAUAAUCUGGGGAAAGCUGCUUAACUCUUUCUCAGUUCUUUCGUCUUGAAAAUGGACCUGAUAAUAAAACUUCCUCACAAGAACUGCUGAAAGGAACACAUGAGUGAAUACAUGAAAAGCACCUGUAGCCCGGGCAUGGUGGCUCACGCCUGUAAUCCUAGCACUUUGGGAGGCCGAGGCGGGUGUAUGGCUUGAGGUCAGGAGUUCAAAACCAGCCUGGCCAACAUGGUGAAAACCCGUCUCUACUAAAAAUACAAAAAUUAGCUGUGCGUGGUGGUUCGCGCCUAUAAUCCCAGCUAUUCAGGAGGCUGAGGCAGGAGAAUUGCUUGAACCUGGGAGGAGGAGGUUGCAGUGAG
rnacentral:lncRNA from 1 species